rnacentral:rRNA from 1 species
GACGAACGCUGGCGGCGUGCUUAACACAUGCCAGUCGAACGGAAAGGCCCUGCUUUCAGGGUACUCGCGUGGCGAACGGGUGAGUAACACGUGGGUGAUCUGCCCUGCACUUCGGGUUAAGCCUGGGAAACUGGGUCUAAUACCGGAUAGGAGCCAUUUUUAGUGUGAUGGUUGGAAAGUUUUUUCGGUGUAGGAUGAGCUCGCGGCCUAUCAGCUUGUUGGUGGGGUAAUGGCCUACCAAGGCGGCGACGGGUAGCCGGCCUGAGAGGGUGGACGGCCACAUUGGGACUGAGAUACGGCCCAGACUCCUACGGGAGGGAGCAGGGGGGAAUAUUGCAGAAGGGGCGCAAGGCUGAUGCAGCGACGCCGCGGGCGGGAUGACGGCGUUCGGGUUGUAAACUCCUUUCGCUAGGGACGAAGCUUUUUGUGACGGUACCUAGAUAAGAAGCACCGGCUAACUACGUG